rnacentral:lncRNA from 1 species
AAGCAAACCAUUAAAUAAGAUAACUUAUUUCAAACAUGAAAAGAAUGGGCAUAACAACUUUUUCCAUCGAUCUAACAUAAUUAAAUCAAAUGGUAAAGUUAUUACUAUUAAACAGAUUUGGGUUCCAAAAGGAACCAUAUGUCCUAACUCUCAAGGACCCAAGAAAGCUUGGGUACCCAAAAUGAAAAAAUGAGAAUGUACACAUAGGUGUGCCAAGAUACCCAUGAAACAAAAGAAACUUAAAAAGUUAUUAACAAAAAUAAUAAUAAUGAAAUCAGUAAUCCUUGCAUCUCAUCAUUAUUUUUGCUUUAGUAUUUGAUUAAAAUAUGAAUUGC